CUGGAGUGGGUUGCCAUUUCCUUCUCUGGGGUUCUUCCCAACCCAGAGAUCGAACUGGUAUCUCUUGCAUCUCCUAAAAUUGGCAGGAGGACUCUUUACCACUGGCAUCACCUGGGAAGCCCAUUAUAGAGCCCCUCCCCGCAAAGAAACACACCCUGUGAAGGUCAUCUCUAACCUGGCCACAGCCUACGGUCCUUCACUCUCCCACCCUGAGCUCCAGGCUCAUCAGAAGGUCCCCUGUUCUCCUGCUGAUGUUCUAGAAGUUUCUCUGCCUGGGAUCUUUGACAUAUUUUUCACACGUCUGUCAAGAGCCUACUAGUCUUUCAAGGUCAAGUGGCUCUACUUUCAUGAAUACUGCCUUACUGUUCUCCAGGAGCUCCACGACCUUCUCUCUCUGGCUGAACCCAGAGUGGGCCCUGAUUCACAUAUGCUCCCCACAGAGACCAGCAGGACCCCGGCACAAGAAAGCUUGUCAGUGCUAUCUGUGGCCUGCCCAAACCCAGAGCUGGAAGAGGGCUAAGUUCCAAGUGGGCAAGCCUGCAUCCUCUCACGUCCCGCCCUUGCGGGUGGGCUAAGGGGCUCCUCUG
rnacentral:lncRNA from 1 species